AAUGAAUGAUUAAUCCCAGGUGCCUCAGGAUGAGGAUAAUAGGGAAGACCGGGAAACCGGCGCGGACCCACCACUGUAUGCGGAGACGAAUUCCGAAUGCCACUGGAUAUGAUCUGGGAAGGCCGGGAGGAGAAUGACCCGUAAGCCAGGAGACCUGCCUAGGAUUGGGAAGAUGA
rnacentral:ncRNA from 2 species